rnacentral:rRNA from 1 species
AUUUUCAAUAAGGUAGUUAAUACUAUUUCACGAAGGACUUUGAGCUAAUUAUAUUAAAAUAGUAGUUUUUAAAUUGUAUGUGGCAAUAUAUAAAGAUUAUGUAUAAUUAGGGGUGAUAGGCUUGUCAAGUUGUCGUAUAUCUUGAUCUAUAGGAAAAAUAUUAAGUAUUAAGAUAAUAUAGAAAUGGUUAGGUUUUUAUAUAACAUUAAAGGAGAUUAUAAAACGUCAGUUUGUAUAAUAACUGCUGGUUCUCUCUUUUUAUAAUAUUAUAUCCAAUUUUUAUGAAUUAUACUAUAGUGUUAUACUGAUUUACUUAAUUAUUAUUUAAUGAAAAUAUUAGUAUUAUGUAAAUAUUACAUAAAGGAACUCGGCAAACUUGUUGCUCAACUGUUUAUCAAAAACAUAGCUAGGUGAGUUUACAUUUAGUUUUUUCUGCUCAAUGGUUUAUCUAAAUAGCCGCAGUACCCUGACUGUGCGAAGGUAGCAUAAUCAAUUGGCUUAUAAUUGAAGUCUGGAAUGAAUGAAUAAAUGGGUGAAUACUGUCUCUUUAAAAUAUAAUGAACUUACUAAGGAAGUGAAAAUUCUUCUAACAGUAUAAUAGACGAGAAGACCCUAGAAAUUUUUUAUAUUGUAUAUUAAUUAUUCUAUUUUGUUGGGGCGACAGAGUAACAUUUAACUUACUUUACCUUUAAGAAUUAAAUUAUAUGAAAAAUUAAAUUACUCUAGGGAUAACAGCAUAAUUUUAAAGAGUUUGUGACCUCGAUGUUGGACUAGGAAAUAUAUUGUUCAGAAGAUAAUAUAAAAAGCUCUGUUCGAGCAGUCCUUCCUACAUGAUCUGAGUUCAGACCGG